AUUGAACGCUGGCGGCAGGCCUAACACAUGCAAGUCGAGCGGAUGAAGAGAGCUUGCUCUCUGAUUUAGCGGCGGACGGGUGAGUAAUGCCUAGGAAUCUGCCUGGUAGUGGGGGAUAACGUUCCGAAAGGAACGCUAAUACCGCGUACGUCCUACGGGAGAAAGCAGGGGACCUUCGGGCCUUGCGCUAUCAGAUGAGCCUAGGUCGGAUUAGCUAGUUGGUGAGGUAAUGGCUCACCAAGGCGACGAUCCGUAACUGGUCUGAGAGGAUGAUCAGUCACACUGGAACUGGGACACGGUCCAGACUCCUACGGGAGGCAGCAGUGGGGAAUAUUGGACAAUGGGCGAAAGCCUGAUCCAGCCAUGCCGCGUGUGUGAAGAAGGUCUUCGGAUUGUAAAGCACUUUAAGUUGGGAGGAAGGGCAGUAAGUUAAUAUCUUGCUGUUUUGACGUUACCGACAGAAUAAGCACCGGCUAACUACGUGCCAGCCGCCGCCGUAACAC
rnacentral:rRNA from 1 species